AGUGAACGCUGGCGGUAGGCCUAACACAUGCAAGUCGAACGGCAGCACAGGAGAGCUUGCUCUCUGGGCGGCGAGUGGCGGACGGAUGAGGAAUACAUCGGAAUCUACUUUUUCGUGGGGGAUAACGUAGGGAAACUUACGCUAAUACCGCAUACGACCUACGGGUGAAAGCAGGGGAUCUUCGGACCUUGCGCGAUUGAAUGAGCCGGUGUCGGAUUAGCUAGUUGGCGGGGUAAAGGCCCACCAAGGCGACGAUCCGUAGCUGGUCUGAGAGGAUGAGCAGCCACACUGGAACUGAGACACGGUCCAGACUCCUACGGGAGGCAGCAGUGGGGAAUAUUGGACAAUGGGCGCAAGCCUGAUCCAGCCAUACCGCGUGGGUGAAGAAGGCCUUCGGGUUGUAAAGCCCUUUUGUUGGGAAAGAAAUCCAGCUGGUUGAUACCCGGUUGGGAUGACGGUACCCAAAGAAUAAGCACCGGCUAGCUUCGUGCCAGCAGCCGCAGUAA
rnacentral:rRNA from 1 species